GGCAGCAGUGGGGAAUAUUGGACAAUGGGSGAAAGCCUGAUCCAGCCAUGCCGCGUGUGUGAAGAAGGUCUUCGGAUUGUAAAGCACUUUAAGUUGGGAGGAAGGGCAGUAAGUUAAUACCUUGCUGUUUUGACGUUACCAACAGAAUAAGCACCGGCUAACUUCGUGCCAGCAGCCGCGGUAAUACGAAGGGUGCAAGCGUUAAUCGGAAUUACUGGGCGUAAAGCGCGCGUAGGUGGUUCAGCAAGUUGGAUGUGAAAUCCCCGGGCUCAACCUGGGAACUGCAUCCAAAACUACUGAGCUAGAGUACGGUAGAGGGUGGUGGAAUUUCCUGUGUAGCGGUGAAAUGCGUAGAUAUAGGAAGGAACACCRGUGGCGAAGGCGACCACCUGGA
rnacentral:rRNA from 1 species